UGCUUCUUUUUCUGUUCAAUAUUUUUUCAUGUGGGAUAGUUUGGGAAUUUCUGUGGCCUUAUUAGUUUUGUUGUUUAAUGUAGGAUGUUGUGAUUCUUAACAAGGUUGAUUUGGUUUCUUCAGAGGGUUCUGGGACCUUGGAGGAAUUGGAGAAAGAAAUACAUCAUAUUAACUCCCUUGCCGAUAUCAUUUAUUCCGCUCGGUGUGAAGUUGACUUGUCUAAAAUACUAAAUCGCCAGGCAUAUGAUGCUACUGUAAGUUACAGAAGGCUCACAAUCUAGCAUUACCUUUAUUUGAAUGGAUCUUAAUUCUUCUCUCUUCUUGUUCUCGUAGCAUAUCACGCAUUUGGAAGCACUAUUGGAAGAAAGCAAGUCACUAUCCACCAGGGAUCUUCAUGAUGGUGGCGUGCGAACCAUUUGCAUUAGUGAGUCACAGCAGGUUGAUCUUGUUAAGGUAGUCAUUUGAUAUGCCUGAUUGCGAUGAUGCACAACCUUGUCAACAGGAUUUGCUACUACUGGGUUACUAAUGUUGUGAAAAGCAUGCUUUGGACUAGUCAGAUCAAAUGUCUUGAAUGUGUUACUUAGCUGGUGCUAAUUUCUUUAUCACCAAUCUACCACGGUAUUGAGCAAAUGUUUCGACAUUUAGGUGUGUUUGAUCUUGUCUGGGCUAAAGUAUGGCCCUUGAUGGACUGCAUGUUGAAAUAAGGUUUGCAUAACUGAACUGUAUACGUAUAGCUUUUUGAUGCUGUUUACUUGAUAUAUCGUUGAAAAUGCCUUUCCAUUAUUCCCAAAAUUUUAAUAGAUAUUGAUUUUUACUUAUUCAGCAUUCAAGUAUUUUCUGUUCCUUGUAUUUUUAUACUUCUCGAUCCUUUUUUAUUGGGAAUGUGUGCUUGGUUACUGGACCUAUAUUUAUAGAUCCUUAAAUGUCUAACAGCCUUGGUUUGAUUUCUAACAUUAAUAUAAAAUGUAAAGUAUUGAUUUUUUCUAUAGAAUCUUGCAAAUAGUAUGAACACUGCAAAUCACUUAAAUUUGAAUCUAUGGAAACUUGCUAUCUGCUUUCACGACCACCUUAACAGAAACUCAUAUCGUGGCAUGGGAAAUAAGGAUUGGUGUUCCUUUUCUUAAUUUAUUUACAGUUAUCUCUUUCUUGUCUAAGUGCAAUCUGUAGUAGCAUAAUUUCUGAUAUUUCAACUAUUAUAGGUUCGUUUAUGGCUAGAGGAGAUUCUAUGGGAUAAGAAAGAUGGCAUGGAUGUAUAUCGCUGCAAAGGGGUGUUAAGGGUGCAUAACUCUGAUGAGCUGCAUACUUUGCAGGUAAUGUUGGAAACUAUCUGUUAGUGAUUAUGAUAUGUUUAUUCAUCUCAUCAUUCUACAUCGGUUACUUAGAGUUUGUGGAUUUUCCAUUCUAGCUCUGGUGAUUCAAUCUUCUGCGUUCUCAUUUCAUAUAUUACAGCUCUAGUAGUAGGAAAUUAACUAUAGUUCUUGGUAGAAUUAUGCAUUAGAUUAUGAGAUCAAGCUUUUGAAUGUCAGUGAUCAGAAGUACAGGUUGCAACCCAAAAUCUAAUUUGGCUCUUGAGGCAUGGAUGGACAUAUCACGUGGGCUGCUAUGUUAUGCUAUGCCUUAUUUGUCUUCAUUUUACAUGUUUUAUCCAUUGAUAUAGCUAAUUUCUUCACACAUAAGUUAAUGUUGCGUAGUGAAGUUUGUAAAUAAUUUGUUAUUAACUGUCUGGUAGGCUGUGAGGGAGAUAUAUGAGAUUGUUCCGGCUCGCAAAUGGAAAGAAUCAGAAAAUCAAUGGAGCAAAAUAGUUUUUAUAGGUAAUGUUCCGGUAGCGUUACAUUAUUCUUGGUGAAAUUCUUCCACGAACUGGUUCGAGCGUAUUUAUUUGUUUAACAGUUACAAGGAAAACAAAAGGCUUAUUUAUUUGUUGCAUUCUUUUGCAGGGCAUAACCUGAAUGAGAGUAUUCUUAUUGAUUCCUUUAGAAGUUGCACAACGACAACAAACUUGUAAUCAAAAUGUUCUACUGAGAGGGAUUUUGAAUACGACGACACGUUUUGGCACUUGCAUUGGUCCUAGGAAUUGUUCAUCUGUUCAUUUGCUUGAGGAGGCCAAACAAUGAACUAGAGAAAUUUCAAUGUAUCGGCUGAAAAAAUGCACGUCCAAAUUCUGGUUUACUCGAAGAUACAAAAGAAAUUGGUGAAAACAGAAUUUUGUUUUGUGAUAGAAAUUUAUAUUAAAUUAUAUAAAUGAAAUUUGUCAAUCACAAUAAAAUUUUAAAAUAUGAACAAAAUAAUAUGUGAUUAAAUGUAAUAAUUUUAAGUCUUUUUUAUAAUACUUCAAUCAAAGAAGAUAAAAUUUACAAACAAGUUUCAUAUUUUAAGAUAUAUACAUAAAUAAAUAAAUAAUUUCAAAUAUAAAAACUGAGUUUCGAAUACAAUACAUCUAACGAUGAAAAUAACAAUCGAAAUAAAUUGUAAAUUUCUUGAAAGUCAAUUGCAUUAAUACCACUCAAUCGAUUUAUAUUUAUUUAUUUAUUUAUUUUUAUUUUUAAAUUGAUUGGUAUUUGCAUGAUUGCCCCUAUUAGUAUUCGCGAAAAUUUUUUUAAUAUUAUUAAAUGUAAAAUUAGAUGAUAUAUGUAAGCUAAAUCUAAAAAUUAUUGAAGUAAAUUCUUACUUAAAAUACUGAAUCUAUUUAUUUAAUGUAAUAAAUCUUUUUUAAGACUCUGCACAACCGGCAGUCAAAAACUAAUUAUAUUUUAAUGUUUUAAAUGACAUAUAUCAUACUGCAGUUUAAAAAAAAUAAUAUAACUAUAAAUAUAGAAUUGUUUUUAGAAGUUUUUAAAAUUCACUCUUGAUAAACAAAAUUCAAUGAUAAAAACAGGGAAGCAAUGAAAACAAUAUCUGUUAAUCAUUUUGCAAAAAUCCAACUAGCAACCUCAGCUUUUAUGCACGUGACACUCAAUCAAUCAAAUUUUGAGUUACAAAAUUUAAUUUAUAGAAUUAAACAAUAAAAGAAAACUCAUACGCGGGAGAAGAAAUAAAAACAAAUAGGUUACAAUUACUUGUGCAAAUUUUCAGUUACAAAAUUUAAUUUAUAGAAUUAAACAAUAAAAGAAAAUUCACACGUGGGAGAAAAAAAAAAAAAUAGUUUACAAUUACUUGUGAUUAGAAAGUAAAAUUAGUUUAAAAAGGCGGAUUCGAUAGCAAAGAAGGUGAGAGCUAUGGGAAUUGUGGUGCAAAUAAAAGCAGCUUAACAGCUUCUAUGUUCCUAUGUAUUUUUUUUUCCUCCUUUGCUCUCAUCUUUUUUUCCAUUUUAAUUUUUUAAAUUGCUCCUUCUAUAUUCAUAUGUAUAUAAAAGAAGAAAGAAAAAAAAAGGUGUGGUCUUCUUUUUAAGGAGAGAAAAUAGAAUUAGAUAAAGGAAGGGCGAAUGUAAUGAAAGGUGUUGAAAGAGAAGUGGUGAUAAAAAUGAUACUAGUGCAAAACUCAAUUAUAUACAAAUUCAUUUAAUCGUAUUUAACAUUGAUUUUCCUUUCAUAUUGGCUUCUUGCAUUUUGAUUUGCUUAUUUCGACCAAAUUUUUUCUCUUCAACCGUUAGAUGGAUUGUAAUUAGUACGAGAUAAAAUAGAUCUAAUUAUCUAGAUAUUAUAAAAAGAUUGGUUAAUUUCACGGAGCACACAAUCACCAUAUUUUAUAAAAACACAAACGUUGAUUGGUGAUAUUUUGUAAUGAAAUACAUUCAGAUAUAUCUGGUCUUAUCUCAUAAAAUUAUAAUUAUUCAAUUUACUCCGAUAUCUCAAAAUUUCCGUAUUAAUUAAUUAGUAAACUAUAUAUAUAUAUAUAUAUAUUCCUAGAUUAACAAUAUUAUGUUGUCAUUGUAUAUAUAUAUAUAUAUAUAUAUAUACACACAACCAAUAUGAACAUGCAAUAAAAUUACUUGGAAAUUGCAAUACAAUACUUGUGAUUUCUAUCAUUCCCACCUAGUGUCUAUAAGUUUUUCAUGAUAUAAAUAAGUCAUACAAAUAUUGUGAGACAAAUAGACAAUAUUAAUCAUGUUGUUACAAACUCAAAGCUCAUCAAGCCCAGCCCAUACCUGACCGAGCCCAUCUUAAAUCUCGAUUGGCAAUCGCGUUUGAGCUGGGUUUUACUUGGGAUCGACUGUCUCUUCUCCCUUUUCACGCUUCAAAAUAUUCACUACAUAACGCGGUAAUGGAGUAAAUUUCCUUUUUGCCUUUUCUGAUUUCUCUUCCUCCCUCUCGUUUCGCUUAACUCUAUCACUCGCUUUCUCCAUCAAGUAAGUAAUUACUUAGCUUCUUGUGUUUUUCUGCUGUUUGCUUACUUCUCCAUCAAGGAAAUACGGAUUGUUUUUCGUUUUCUAAGUUUUGCAUUAUUUAGAGUUAUCUCUUUCUUGUCUAAGUGCAAUUCUGCAGUAGCAUAAUUUCUGAUAAUUCAAUUAUUAUAGGUUCAUUUCUAUCUCUGGUGAUUCGAUCUUCUGCGUUCUCUUUCGUAUAUAUAUUACAGCUUAGCAGUAGGAAAUUAAUUACAGUUCUUGGUAGAAUUAUGCAUUAGAUUGUGAGAUCAAGCUUUAUUCAUCAGAAGUUCCAGGCUGCAACCAAACUUGUUAUCAAACUGUUCUAGCGACUUGUAAAUGUAGAUUGUAGCUUACUAGGAUUUUGAAGACAAUGAAACGUUUUGGCACUUGCACUGAUCCUAGGAAUUAUCAAUCUGUUCAUUUGCUUGAGGAGACCGAACAAAUUAUUUAUAAGUCAAUGUGGGUCACGUCAAAAUUUAGUUUACUAGACAAUGCAAAAGAAAUUGGAGGACAGAAUUUUGUUUGUCAAUCACAAUAAAAAUUUAAUAAGAUUGAGCAAAAUAUUUUUUUUAAAUAAGAUUUUUAUUUUUGGUGAAUUUUUUUCAUAAAAUAGUUAGAGUUUAUUUAUAAAUUUAACGGUUAAAAUGAAAAUAAAAGAUUUAUUUAUUUAUUUAUUUAUUGCUUUCCUUUUUAAUUUGUUUUGCUAGAGGUUACACAAGGACAACAAACUUGUAAUCAAACUGUUGCAGUGACUUCUAAUUCUAGGUUCUAAAUUAUAUGGAUUUUGAAUACAAUGCUACGAUUUCGAGUUCUAGUACAUCCUAUUUCAUCAAUUCAUUUGCUUAAAACGCACCGUCACAUAUAUAUAUUUAUUGAAAUGAAGUAAGACUGUAUAAAAAUACCUCUAAAUAAUAAUGUUAUUAUCACGAUAAAAUGCAAAUAAAUGAAUAACAAAAUAAAUAAAUGCUGAAUCAUUUAUUUGUUUAAGGAGCUAUUUCUAAUUUUUCUAUUUGUGAAGGAAUAUGGGAAAUGCAUUUUGUUAAUUUUCAAUAUUUUUGAAUGAUAUUGGACGGUUGAACUUAGUUUAAUGGAUUCAAAUAAAAUAAUAGUAUAAUUAUAAAUAUAGAAUUAUUUAAAAAAAAUUGUAAAGUUAAUUCUCAAUGACCAAAAUUCAGUAAUAAAAACAUAUUAUAAGUAGCGGCAAUAAUAUUUUUUUAAAAUGAUUAUAUUACAAAAUCCAAUUAUACAUACAAAGUUUUACACCUCAAAACAUAUGACCAUGUAUUUCUUAUUAAUAUCAUUUCGGUUAGGCUGAAAAUUCAGAGAGUGGGAAGAAACAAAUAGGUCAUAAUUAAUUGUGAUUAAAAAUUAAAAUUAAUUUUUUUUUUCCUGGGAAGAGCUUGAGAAACAGGAUUUCCAAAGCAAAGAAGAGGGUGAGGCCUCUGAUGAUAGUGUUGUAAAUAACAGCACAGAAAAAAAACUAAAUUUUUUUCCAUGUUUUUUCAUUUUUUCUCCUCCUCUUCCCUCAUUUUUUUAAUUAUAUUUUAUUUUUUAAAUUGCUUCUUUGAUGUAUAUAGAAAAGAUUGGACAAAAUAGGAGAUGUAUCAGAUUGAUUCAAUUUGCAAACACAAAAAAAAAAAAAAAAAAAAAAUCGAUCAAUUGAGCAAAAUAGUUUUUAUAGGUAAUAUUUCUUUCUAAUUGGUUAAAUGUUUACAAUAUUGAUUUUCAUAACCAGAUUUAAUAAAUUUAAACUUUCAUACCCAUUUCAUAAUUUGAAUCUUAUAGUAACUUCAUUUGUGUCGCCCAAUGGCUCAUACCCAAUUUUAUGUAUAAGUUUCCUCUUAAAUUGAUAUUUGAUAGCUUUUAUCUCAUUCAUAUCUUAUAAAGGCAUUAAAAUAAUUUCUCUCUCAUCUAUGAAUGGCAUUUCUCUCUUAUCUAUUGAUUGCAAAACUAUGAGAAUCCAAAACCCAAAUGAUAUGCAAUGGAAUUCAAUAGGACAAAUUUAUCUACUCACAGCAACAAAAUUCACCUAAUCCAUCUUGCUGUAACUUUAUCUGUAAAUAGUCAUUAUCUCUAUCAUAUUCAUGAUUAACAGUUCUGAAUUUGAUAAAUUUAAAUUUUAAAAUUGAUAUCUUUUGUUAUCAGUUGUGAAACAAUUAUUAUUAUAUAAAACUAUAAUUUUCAUAUAAUUAUUAAUUUUACUCCAAUAUCUCAAUAUUUUUAUAUUUGUAUGUAUUUGUAAAUUAUUGGCAUUAUACAAUCACUAAAUAUAUAUGUAUAUAUAGUGAAUUAGUUGUAGUACAAAAUCUGUGAAUUCUAUCAUUCACAACUAGUUGUCCAUGAAUUUAUUUUUUGGUGAAAAAAAGUCAUACAAAUAUUGUUAAAAAAAUAGAUAAUAUUACAAUGUCUACAAACCUAGGCAUUCAUAUAUAUAUAUAUAUAUAUAUAUACACACACACACACGAAUAAGGAUGGAUUAAAAGUACUUCUAACAAUAAUAUUAUUGUCACAAUGAAAUACUAAUAAUUGAAUAGCAAAAUAAAUAAAUACUAACUCAUUUAUUUGCAAAUUUAUUUAUUUAAGGAGCUACUUCUAAUUUUCCCAUGUGCGGAGGAAUAUGGAAAAUGCACAUAGUUAAUUACUUGUCAUACAAAAUUUGUGAGUUCUCUCAUUCACGUGAGUUUCUAUAUAAAUUUUUCAUAAUGUGAGAAAGUCAUACAAAUAUUGUUAGAAAACGUAAAUGGUUAAAGGUAUGAUAUUUUAAUAACAAUAUGAUUAGAAAAAGCUUCUGAUUAAUCUACGGUGAUCAAAUAUAAGAAUGCAAAUAAAUAUUACGUAUUUUAUAUACAAUCAAAUUUGAAGUUGAAAAUUAUCUAUAAAAAAAAAAAUUAAAGUUGAAAUUCAUAUUGUUUUACAUGAUUUUUUAUCGUAAACUAUAGAGUUAAUAAAAGAGAGAGAGAGAGAGAGAGAGAAGAGAUCAAGCCCGGCCCAUAUCAGAGCGAGCCCAUCUUUAAUCUUGCGUUUGAGCAGGGUUUUUAGGUUUGUGUCGACUCCAGUCUCUUCUACCUUUUCGCAGGAUUCUCUACAGAACUCGUCCAUGGAGUAAAUUGCCUUCUUGCCUGUAUUCUUUUUCUGUCUACGCUUUAACUCUAUCAAUCGCUUUUUCCAUCAAGUAAGUAAUUACUUAGAUUCUCGCGUUUUUGUCUGCUUAUUUUGACAGAGUUGUUUUUGCUUUAUUUGCUUUUGCAUGUUUCGCGCAGAUUUUAUGAUUUUCUUCUAGUUAUUGAAAGGAUUAAACCCUUAUAUUGUAUGCAAAAUCCUCUUGUGCUGAUUUAAAAUGUGUUGGGUUCUUGGAUGAUUAAGGAUGGAGGAAAUUUAUAAUUUGAAAAUAAUUGCAAAAGAACACCUUUAUGUGUAUAAAUUUCUGUUAAGAUUAACAGUUUUGGGCUUGAGGGGUUGUAGAAUCAUUAGGAAUGAAAAGUUUUUAUUUGAAUUUGAUUUUAAAUUUACUUUGCCCUAUGAAUAUGAAAUUCUAGAUACAUCUAAAAAUAAAUUUUCGUGUUCAUUCUAUCUAAUCUUUGUUUAUGAAUCUAAAAAAUUAUUCAGUGGAUGCAUUUUCAUUCAAACAGUUCAAACUAAAUUAGCGUUAAUCCCUUGUUUGAUAUAAAUGAAUGUGAAGUUUAGAAUUUAUUUAUGCUUGAUAGUAUUUGGCUUAGUUGUGUUGAAUUUCAUAACAUUGAGUUUAUGGGAGUGAAAGCGACAUUUUCAUACACAUCAAAUAUGAUAUGAAGUUUUAAAAUGAAUUCCACAUUUAUUUUCACCAAACAAGGCCUGAAUGCUUCAUCGCCAUAUUCCGUUCUUUUAUUGUAAUAGUUCUCUGUUCUCAUUUUCUCUAUGAUAAAUGGUUCAAUUAAGGAUGAUAAUCACAGCAUCUAUGUUUUUGACAUGUGCUUGCUAGCUUUAUUCUGAUAACCUUGAAUCUGUCUUUUCGAUCCAAUCUUCAUUUUCAUGUCAUGGUUUUUAUAAAUGCUGCUAAAAAACAAGUAAGAGGUACAGGAGGGAGGAAUUGUGCUUGAUGCAAUUGUCUCAUGUUUUAAACAGUAAGCAAGUUUGUGGAAGCUGCAUCUCAGUGCCCCUACACAAAUUCUCAAUCUUCUUCAAAUGGCUUUGGUUGUAAUCUGUGGCCAGCCAUGCAGUGGGAAGUCCACUGCAGCAAUUUGCUUAUCUGAAGCUCUCAAAGAAUCAGAAUCUAAAUUAACCGUUAGGGUCAUUGAUGAAGCUUCCUUCCAUCUUGAUCGUAAUCAGAGUUACGCUAACAUGACUGCUGAGAAAAAUUUAAGAGGAGUACUUAGGUCUGAAGUUGAUAGAUCUGUAUCAAAAGACAAUAUAAUCAUAAUAGAUUCUUUAAACAGCAUCAAAGGCUACAGGUAUGAGUUGUGGUGUUUGGCUCGUGCCGCUGGGAUAAGGUACUGUGUGUUAUUCUGUGAUGCGGAAGACACUCAAUGUCAAAAAUGGAAUGAACAGCGCAGAGAGAAAGGAGAAGCUGCAUAUGAUGAUGCCAUAUUUGUGGACCUGGCAAGGAGGUUUGAGAGGCCAGACAGAAGAAAUCGAUGGGAUUCUCCCUUGUUUGAGUUAUGGCCAUACAAAGAUGGAAUUCAGAAAUCUUCUACAGCCAUUUUAGAUGCUGUUUCAUACUUAACAAAACAAGUAGACUCCAAAUCUCGGGAUGUUAAAAUUUUACAACCAACAAUUGCUACACAAAAUACACGGUUUUCUGAGGCUAAUUCUCUUUAUGAGUUGGACAGGGCAACACAAGAAGUGAUUAGUGUCAUUGUGGAAGCACAGUCCCAGGCAAUUGGGGCCACACCAAAUGGUGUUUCUCUUGGUCAGGGUUUACCAACUCUCAACAUUUCAAGGUCUGUAGGGUUGCCAGAGCUACGGAGAUUGCGGCGGACUUUCAUUAAGUUGACAAGUCAAACAAGUUUAAGUGGACCGCCCCCGCCUUCAGAUGCAGAAAGUGCUAAGAGGAUGUUUGUGGAUUACUUGAAUAGGGAAGUUGGAACUGCUUAAAGGAAGAUAAUGGGGAUGAUAUCAAACUCUGUCUGUUUCUGAAGCGUCCUUGGAGGAAGUCAUUCUAAAAGGUUUGAUUAUGAAGUUAUUUAAAUUUGGAAGUAACAGAUUUGCACAAACAGACUUGCAUUGUUGUGGGAUUAGAUUAGUCAUCUCCUUUGGCCUAGCCUAUAUUGUAUUUUAUUUGUAUUAGUGAAAGCUGAGUUAUGUCCCUGAGGGGACAUCCACGCAGCAAAAGCUUGAAAUAUCUAUUAAGAGGUCUCAAGUUUGAAUUUUGUUGGAUUCAGUGAUUUAUUCCAAGUAAGAGCUAUCCCAAGUUUCGUAGCUGAGUUCUCGUUUGUGCAACACCAAUGUACUGUCUGGCUCUAUAACUUUCUGCCCUUUUCUCUCUAAAGAUUGAGCUGUAAUGGUUGAUAGGUACCAUAAGUUUCUCUUUGAUGGGUCCAUUUAAUAAAUGUUAUUAGUUGCAGAUUGAUUCCUGUCUAAGGCAAGUGGUUUUUACAUUUUUGCUGGAAUUGGUAGUCUAAAGGAGUUGGUUCUAAUAAGAUUGUAUAUAAGAAUGACCAUGUCAUCCAUUAAAUUUAUAUUGGUGUAAAUGCAGUUAUUAUUGUUGUGUUUGCAUUGGAAUAAUUGCAAUUUUAAAUCUAAUGGGCUUAUAAGGUCAUUCUUAUAUAAAAAUAACCUUAUAAUCGUUGAACCCCAGUAUGAACGGAUGAGUUCUUGUACUUGUUCUAAACUUGACUUUCUUUUUGCUUCCUUUUUCUUUUUUUGUUUUAUACCCUUUUCAGAACAUUCCCUCAUGAGGUUAUUUUUGCUCAAAAAGCACUCAACCAAUUGCUUCAGGAAUAAUUUUAACUAACCAACCAUAAUAAUAGUGUUUGAAUUGAGGGUGAUAAUAUAUUAAUGAGUGACCUGGCAGCAUUAGUUUCAGUAGCUGGGUGGCUAGAAAAGUGCCUGAUACAAAAAUGUAUUACAAUGGGGUAGGGCCUCAGGUUGCUGGUGACAGGCUUGUUGUUCUUGUGGUGGAGCACUUUCAGCUAUUAUUUAUUUGUUGGCUUAAAAACUCCAGCUCCUACAUACAGCAAAAGGGCAAUUCCACUGUUAAUUUUGAACCAGCAGCUGGUGAUGUUCAUUUUAUCGGUACGGAUGAUAGUUGUUUAACGAAUUUUUUUUAGGGUAAUUGACCAUUUAGUCCCGAGUUUUAGUGGAAUUACUAUAGCAUUCAUAUUGUUUGUUAAAAUCACUAAUUUGUCUAUGAAAUUCAGCUCAAUCUUACAACUUGGUUUUUCUGUCCAAAAAGUAUUAUUUUAUAUUUUUUUUAUCAUUUAAUUAUUUACAUUUAUACUCUCACAAUUGCCGUUUAGUCUCUCACUUAAUAGUAAAAGUGAUAUUUUUUGAUAAAAUAAUUACAUAAUUUAAUCAGUUCAGUAUGAAUCAAUGAUUUUGCUAAACAAUAUAAUUUUGCUAACCAAUAUGGAUGUGAUCAUAAUUUCAGCUAAAAUUGAGAUACUAAUAAAUGGUUUUUUUGAAUAGGAAGGGAAAUUCGAAUUUAAAUCUAUUGUCAAGUAGUAUAUGCACUUACCAUUAGAUUAUAUCUUGACAUUCGAGGCACUAAAUGGUUAACUACUCUUUUUUUUUUUUUUUUUUUUUUUGAAUUAUAUGUAUAUAGCAGUUGAGAUGUCACUAAAUCCCAAAUAUUGAGAGUUUGUGACGUUGUAAGUUUGGAAAAUUCAUCUUGACAUAAAAUUGUUAUUAUUAUUAUUUGGAAAAAAAAAAAGAAGAUAUAUUAGGCUUGCUUACUGAAUCAAAGAUGUAACCAAAUAAAGAAAUCUACAUACACAGAUCGAACAAUUCAAGGGUCAUUCGGUCUUUGAAAUAGACAGUGGUUACGGGUCAAUUUAAUGGGUCUAGCUAACCCCUGAUUUGUAUAAUGGGACAGACAACCUACUAAACAAGCAGACAAACAACCUCAAAUCAGCAUAUACAAAGUUAUCUAUGAUGCUACCUAUUUUGACAGUUUCAUAUGAGACGCAAGCAUUACUAUUAUACUAACCUCCAAUUGGAAGCAACUAAUUAAAAUCUAAUGAUCAAUAUCCUAGUCUCAUGUCCAUCCAAUAAUUAAAUUAAAUUAAUACGUGUACUAAUAAAUAAUAAUAUAAUUAAUAUGCACAGUCACAAGCAUUCGUUAAAUUAAAUGAACAUCAUUUGUCGUUCCAGUAAAAACUCCAAAUAGAUAAUUAGUUUUAAAAUGGAGUAGUGCAGCGCAAGUACAUUUAAAGAAGAAAAAAAAAGUACAAAACACCGUAAAAUCACUAUCAUUCUCUCUCCCUCCAACCUUAAUUAAUUAUGGGUAAAUAGCUAUUUGGUUUUCAAAUUUAGAUAUCAUUACAACUUCGUCCCUCUUACUUGGUUACUAAGGUUUAAAUUGUUAAAUUAUUUAGUUAUCCUGUUCAAAAAGUGUCACCUUCAAUGUUAAGUAUCUUGCAAUAUUUGUUCAUAUUUAAUAUUUCUUUCGAUUUUAUAAGUUUUGUCUUCAUUUAAAUUUGCACGUAGAUUGAGAAAACUUAAUUAAUAUAGCUAAAUUAUAUAUUAUUUAUUUAUUUUUUUUCCAUAAUAUCCUUAUAUUAAUGUGCAUCAAAAUUAAAUUAUCUAUACUACGUUGUUCUUGAAAUUAACCAAAUGCUUAAUCAAAUAGAGUUUUCUUGAAAGGUUAAAGAUUGAUAUUUUAAUUUUAUUUAUAUUAAAAUUUUAAUUAAUAAUAAUGUAGUAGUUUGAAGGUUAUGGUUAAGUAUAUUAAAUAAAAAUAUAAUAAUUUUAAAUAUUAUUCACUUCUAAAAAAAGAAACAAAAUAAAAUUAUUUGAGAUAGAUGAAAAAAGAAAAUAUGUUAAAGAUUAUAGUACGAAGAGAGUAUAAUAUUAUUAUUUAGUCCUUGAUAUUUGUUAUUGAAUUACUAUGAUGGAUUAAAUAUUUUAAUGCAGCUAAAUUUUAGAAACUAACGGAUGCAUUUACGAACAAGAAGAAUGAAAUUGCAAAUUAUGAUUAAAUUUGAUGGACUAAACGGUUAUUUAGCCAUUAAUUAAUUUUGUGUUAAAGAAGCAGAAAUGAUAGGUGAUUUGCCUGCUCCGUAGUCAUAAUCAUCGUGCCUUUAGAUCUGAUUAUUAGUAUUUGAUUUUAUAUUAUUAAUUAAACUAAUUAUUAUCUUAUUCUUUUUCACAAACACGCGCCUAAUGAAAACUACAAACCCGGAAUAAUUGGACUCUCCCUAAAAUAGUUACCUCUCUCUUUUCCCCUCUCUCUCUCUCUCUUGAGCUUUCAAUCUCCACUCUUCCACGAACCAGAACUGGUAUUUACUCCAAAAACCCUAAAUCGCUUCCAUUACUGUUCAGUUUGUUUCCAUUUUGGUAACUAAUGCACGUUCGUCUAAAUAGCUGGAUUUUUAUAUAAUUUUGUCCCAUUGUCGUUUUGAUCUGAUCUCUAUUUUCGUUUCCUUGUCGAGAUCUAAACUUCUAUGGAAAUUGAAAGUUCUGCAUUUCAUUUCCCGUAAUUUUCUUUUAAACUUUGUAAAGUGAAGGAGAAUUUGAAAUCGUCAAUGUAACUGUGCUUUUUUCUUCGUUUGAAAUUGAAUUUGAUUUGUUGUGAGAUUGUCCUUUCUUUUUGUUUUCUUGGUAGUUAGCCAAAAAACCGUUGGAGACUCGAAAUUCAGCCAUAUUUGAUUUUGCUUUGUUCUUUAUUCAUUUUGUUUCCUAUUCUGACUUAUCUGGCAGGUUGAUCUGAUUGGUUAGUUUACUGGAGACUGGUUUCGAUCGUUUAAUUGUGCUCAAUUCUCUGUAUUUGAGACACUGAGGUCUGAUUGGGAAUACAAUUCUUCUAUAUAGCUGAGUUGUGUGGAUUGUUGAUUCAUAAUCAGGAUUGAAAUUCAGUUGUCUUGAACUCGGUUGAUGAUUGUUGUAUAGAGGACCCAUUUGUUUUCUUGUUUUUUGGAUACUGCGAGUACCUGCUGAUGUGAUCUUGUGUUGAAAGAUCUCCAGGAGACUGUUUUCAAUGCUAGUGGCAAUUGUGAGGAUUCAUGGUUACAUAUGUAAAAGCUUAUAUGUUAUGAUAGGUUAUGGUUUUCGCAGUUUUUGGAGAUUUAGGUUAACAUCAGUUAUUUAGUGUAUUCGAAGACUCAAUUGUUUUAACAAUUUGGACAUGAGAAGCCCCUGGUUCAGUAAACCAUCUGUCUUUUUCGGUCCUAGACCGCCAUCCAGUUGGUUACUUUUGUGCCUCAUUUGUGUGCUUGCACUAAUUGCUAUAUUAGGAUCCACUUCGUCGAGUGCAUUUGAUUCCGUGACUAGCACUCCAGUGACAGACAUUUAUUCAAAUUAUAGAAGGUUGAAAGAGCAAGCUGCAGUUGAUUAUUUGGAGUUGAGAACUCUCUCAUCAGGAGCUAGUCGGCAAAAGGAGCUGGGACUUUGUGGGAGAGAAAGAGAAAAUUAUGUGCCUUGUUAUAAUCUUUCAGCGAAUUUGUUGGCUGGGUUUAAUGAUGGGGAGGAAUUUGAUCGGCAUUGUGAAAUGUCAAGACCAAGAUACCGGUGUUUGGUUCGCCCUCCAAAAGACUAUAAGAUCCCCCUAAGGUGGCCGGCUGGUCGGGAUGUGAUAUGGAGUGGAAAUGUAAAACUUACCAAAGACCAGUUUCUUUCAUCUGGAAGCAUGACUAAAAGGUAAUUCUUUUUGUUUAAUCUUAAAAGUGAUUUUAGUCGCAUUAAACUGGUCAUUGAAAGUUAAAAUGAUUUAAUUGUUUUAGCGUCAUAUAUUUUCUUUAUUAUUAUUAUUUUUUUCUUUUUGUUUAACAAAAUUUGUAGGUUAAUGUUACUAGAAGAGAAUCAAAUUGCUUUUCACUCAGAAGAUGGGAACUUUGAUGGUGUCAAAGAUUAUUCACGCCAGGUUGCGGAGAUGAUAGGGUUAGGAAGUGACUCUGAAUUUCUUCAGGCUGGUGUAAGUCUUCUUGGCAUUUUAUAGAUCCUAUUCUUGUUGUAUUGCGGGGAAGAACAUUGCCAGUCCUUCAAUAGAAUGUUUAAUUUCUUCAGUAGGCUUGUAUUGAAGUUUGUGACUAUGGUAAUCAAGAUGCCAUAGAGUGUGCCCUUUUGUAGUUUUUUAAAUGGAAAUCUGAGAAUGUGACUGUUGGUUUAUAGUUUUUCAUUUGCUUUUGUUAAUUACAGGUGCGAACUGUACUAGAUAUUGGAUGUGGAUUUGGUAGCUUUGGAGCUCAUUUAGUGUCGCUGAAGUUAAUGGCUGUUUGUAUUGCGGCAUAUGAGGCAACUGGUAGCCAAGUUCAGCUGGCCCUUGAGAGAGGUCUUCCAGCAAUGAUUGGCAAUUUUAUGGCACGACAGCUUCCAUAUCCAUCAUUGUCAUUUGACAUGGUUCAUUGUGCUCAAUGUGGUAUUAUUUGGAAUGAAAAAGGUACCUCCAGGUUUUUUGGUUUCACAUAUUUGUGUUAAUUAUUGGAUGGCUUCAUGUGAGCAUUCUGUAGAAUUGCUUUCUGCAAAAAGGAUUGUUGUAGUUUGAUUUCUGCUUGCUUGCUUUCUCUUGUUUGUUAUUGAUGAUAUCUUGCCUUUUCUUUCAGAUAUGGGUUCUUUUGAAUACACUGAUAGACAAUCAUAUAUCUUGUAUAAAUUCGAAUUAGAAUUAACAGUGCUAGGAAACAUCUAUUGCACUGUUAACCUCGUGUGAACCUUUUUCCAGUUUUCUUCUCAUUUAACUAACUCAUUAUAUGUUGGUGUGUACUAUGGUUAGGAAAGUAUAUAGAGGAUUUCCCUCUAGACUACUGAUGCACAUUACUUAGUAACUUGUGAAAAAGACUCAUUUUAUUGUUAUCAAGUAGGCGACGGCUAACCUGAGCCUCAUGCCUCUUGUUGAGGUACCCACCUGACCCAAUAUGAGACCCACAGACUCAUUACAAUUGUGUAGAAAAGUGACUGUUAUGUAAACAUUAUUUAGAAAAAUGAAUUUAAUCUAUUCCAUCUGGAAAGAAAUGGUGCUACAAAUGGACAAAAUUAUAAAUUUAUGUCAUGGUUUGGGAGCAUGCUUUUUGGAUAGAUUCAACUAGAAACUUCCAGCUGACAGUUAUAAUCCCUUUUAGAGGAAGUGUGACUUGCGUAACAUGUCUGGUGCUGGGAUCAUGAAAACCUCAUUAUCUCAGUGAGGCCAUAACAAAUAGAAUUUCUGACACACAUCAGAUGCUGCUUGAUAUUCAUUUAUACUUCUUAAUCUUAAAGUCAGUUUUAGAUUUUGAGAGUUAUUGGUUAUCUUCUAGUUACUUCUAGACACAUGCUGAUGGAUGAAAUGUCAGGAAAAUAAACUUUCUUAUUUCACUGAAAGAAACUGCUAUAAGUAAAUAUAUUGAACAGCUUCUCUGAAACAUUUUUAUUUGCUGCAAUGAAAUAAUGCUUGUUCUGAUAAAUUGAUAAAAUUCAAUAUUCUUGAAAUGGCAGGAAGAAUUGUCGUCAGUAUUAAUCCUUGUCUUCUUACAUUUGUAUGUUUCCUUUGGAAGUUCUUUUUUGUGCAAAUGUAAUUAGUGAAUGAUAAAACUUUAAAUCAAAAAGGUUCACUCAACUUUAGUGCAUCUGAACCAAUUGAAUUGUGGAGUUUAUAAUUCAGAAAGUGUGUGCAAAAAUAUUUAUGAAUAUUUUUCUAUGUCAUUAUUUGGCAUUAUGCAGACAUUUCCCAAUAUUCUUUUCUUUUUUGGAAAGAAUUUGUUAAAACUAAGGUAUAAGAUUUUGUUUACUGAAAUCACAUUCUUUUGCUUUCUAAUAUUGACUUUGAUAUAACAGAUGGUAUGUUCCUUAUUGAAGUUGAUCGGGUUCUCAAGCCUGGAGGUUACUUUGUUUUAACCUCGCCAAUGAGCAAGCCACAAGGGAACUCGUUGAACGCGAGGAGGAGAAGCACAGUGGCUGUGAUAGAAGAAUUAACGGUAAAAAUAUGUUGGAGUCUUUUAGCUCAGCAGGAUGAGACUUUCAUCUGGCAGAAAACUGUGGAUGUCCACUGCUACAAAUCUCGGUGAGGAUGUUAACGAUGAUACAUUAUUGGGCGAGUUUUAUACUUAUGAAAGAACAAUUGAACCUAUUGCAUCUUCUUUUUCUUCUUUUUUCUUUUCCUUCUUUCCUUUACUAAGUAACUCUACAGUCAAAAACAUACUAAUGCUCUCUCUCUCUUCCCCUUCUUUACUAUAGUAAGCAGGAUACUCCACCACUUUGCAAUGAUGGACAUGAUAUUCCACCAUAUUAUCAACCCCUUGCAGCGUGUAUUUCUGGGACCACUAGCAAACGUUGGAUUCCCAUUCAGAAAAAAUCCUCAGGUUUCCAGUUGAGCUCAGCUGAGCUUCAAGUUCAUGGAAAGUAUUGUUUCAAAACAAACUUAUUUCUUACCUUUUAUCUUUUUUUUAUCUUUUUUUUUUUUUGUUUUAUUUUUUGAUGUAACCUCUUUUUAUUUCAUCAUGACAUUUUAAAAGAUUAAGAUAAUAAUUUACCUAGAUAUUGUCCAUACCAAUUUUACAUGGGAUAAAUAAUUAGAGAUGGUUAUAUUCUUCAGCAUUUUGCUGCAAGUGGCUGUUCUCCAGACUUGAACCUUCAGGCUUGUGUUUUGCAGCCCAAGACUUUUUAACUAUUCUGCCAAGCAAAGGCCCAUACAACAUUUAUAUGAUGUUCUUAAGUUUUUUUAACCACAUUAUUUAGCUGUCCUAUUUUGCUGACUCAUUUUUAGCCUUGCAGGAGUUCAGCCUGAAGAUUUUUUUGAAGACUUGCAGGUUUGGGGAUCAGCUCUAAGAAACUACUGGUCUUUGCUUACGCCCUUAAUUUUCUCUGACCAUCCUAAGAGGCCAGGGGAUGAAGAUCCAUUACCUCCAUAUAAUAUGAUACGCAACGUGAUGGACAUGAAUGCUCAUUAUGGGGGUUUAAAUGCUGCAUUUCUGGAGGAAAAGAAAUCAGUGUGGGUGAUGAAUGUCGUUCCUGUUUGGGCACGUAACACGCUUCCUCUCAUACUUGACCGAGGUUUUGCUGGUGUUUUGCAUGAUUGGUAUGUUGUUUCCAUUGUGAAAAAGAAAACUGCAAGCUGAUGAGCAUAAACCUUAUUCGCUCUUGAAAAAUAUGUUGUCACCUUUGUGAUAAUCUGCAUGACUUGUUAUCAUUUUGGAUAAUUAUUUAUUUAUUUUUUUAACUUAUCAAUUUGACUCAUUCAAGAUGACCUAGAAAGUUUUAAAAAUUAAAGAUUGUGUCUCAAAAAUAUUCAGUCCUUUUGAUAUCAACUUUUAUUAAAUUGUUUAGAAUAGAUCAAGUAAUACCAUCAUUUGUACUUCUAAAAAUAAGAUUUCAAGAAAGAUUGAUGUGUCAAUCAUGAGCUGGAUUGCUGUAUGCAACUUUUUAGGGUUCAUAAAACAGAGACGUGGUUUACUUUGCUGAUAGACUGUAGUACUUUACUUCCAAAAGAUAAAAAGACUCUUUGAACUUCCAACUUCUCUAUUUUGGAUUUUCCAAAUCAAAUUUCAUGUACAUAAAUUUUAGGAAAUUUAAGCUUUCUUUUUUUUUUUUUUUCAUUAGCUCCAUCCCAAGAUGUCAUAUUCCUUUCUCGAAAUUUUGCUGGUGCUAUUUUAUCCAGUUCUAGGAAAUAGAUUUACUGAAACAAAAUUAAUUUAUCUGUUGGUGCAAGGUGUGAGCCAUUUCCCACAUAUCCCCGAACAUAUGACAUGCUUCAUGCAAAUGGGCUUCUCUCACAUCUCAGUUCAGAGAGAUGCAGCAUGAUGGACUUGCUGUUAGAGAUGGAUAGGAUUCUGCGCCCUGAGGUACUUUUCACUGUAUUCCUGGUGUUUCUUCUUUUUAGAUUAGCCCCUAUAUAUCUUCAUUGGCUAUCAUUCAGUGAUUUAUGUAGUGUCCCACAAGGUUUCUCACUUUCUACUUUUCAUAGACAAUGCCUCUCAUGAGUUUAUCUAGUUUAUGUUCCGUUAUAUUUGCAAUAUUUAUUAUUAGUUACCUUGACACUUUCAUUAUCAUUUAUCUUUCUCACUUCCGCAAAUUAGAACCUAAUGUAUGCUAUAUAUAGGCCCCAUCUUUAGGCCUGAGUAGGAAAUAUGAAGAUCAAGAGCACUAAGUUGACCAAACUAUGAGGGAGGGAGUUGUAUGUUUCAAAAUUGAUCAAGAACUAAGAAACCAGAAUUUUUUUUCUUUUUUAACAUUUAAGACAACAGAAUGGCAUUCAUCUCAUAUUUGAUGUGUAGCAAUGCUGGGCGCCUUAUCCUUUUCAGGAAGUUACUUUUUAUGCAGCAAAUUUAUGCAUCUAGUUCGUUUGGCAGGGAUGGGUUGUUCUUUCUGAUAAAUUAGGAGCUAUUGAGAUGGCACGGGCGCUUGCUACACAAAUACACUGGGAAGCAAGGGUGAUCGACUUACAGAAUGGAAGUGACCAGCGGCUACUAGUUUGCCAGAAGCCAUUUCUGAAAAAAUGAUUGGUCUAGCAUCAGGAGGGUCUCACCAACAUGGAAGUGUGAAGUCUUUUUAGCUCGGGUAACUCCUAUCUAUCUGUCUGGAAAACCAUUAAAUUAUAACCUGUUGGCAAGAAUGUGUUAUUGAUGCUGUCAUAUAAGCUCAUCAAUCAUUUUGAUAAAGAAGUCACAUAUUCCAUUACAUGUCCUAGCUCUGUUUAUGUCCACAUGAAUCAGAGUUUCAGAGAAGUUGGAUGCUUUCCUUGAUUCAAGAUGCUCUUGUAAAGCAGUUCUAGCAGCAUUUCUUGCAUUAGUUGCAUAUGUGAACCAAAGCCUUGAAUAUAUGCCACAUGGCAACAAGGCUGUAGUUUUACAUGAACUGAAGUUGUUCUAUUGAAUGACUUGAGACCCCCGUUUCUGCAAGCAAAACCUGUAUUUGCAAGUGCUAUAAGUUCAGUACACAAGCUUGUGUGCUAUGUUUUUCAUGAUAAAAGACUUAUGCUUCACAGUGACUUUGAUGUUCUUGUUAUUCCCAGGGCAUGAAUCGUUCUGAUAGCAACACCGUGACUCUGACCGCAAAAACCCAAGGGAAGCAAAGCUGUAGAGUAGAAACGAGGCUGGCUGAAAUAGCUGGAAAGCAUGCAAUUUUUUGUCAAGGCAUUUAUAGUAAUUAAUUCAUCAUUUUUUUUUUAAUUCUUUGAGUGUUUUUUUUUUUUUUCCUUUUUUAAUAUAGUUGCUGUCGAGGGUGUACUGAUAGUCCACGGAAUUAUAGUUAUACAUUAUAUUGUCUCUCGAGCUGGAUUUGGGUCUUAUUUUUUGUAGGAGCAGAAAGGGGUUUUUGUCAAAUUUUAUUGUCAGCUGAACCGUUGAGAAGAUUAUGUCGAAAGCUUUCUAGUGAAUAUGUUUAUAAAGAGUGGAAAUGGAAGGUCAAAAAUUGUAGAUUGAACUCAAUUAUGUGGUCUUGAAAUCAAUAUUUUCUUCAUUGCUCUUCAUUCGCAUCUACAGAAGUUGAAUCCUAUUUCGUUUAUAUGUUCUUUUUUCAUUAUUUUCAUGUAAAAAUAAUAAUAAUAAUAAGAAAGGAUAAAAGGCACAUGAAGCUGGGAUAGCCAAAUUGGUUCCUUUUUUUUUUUUUUUUUUAAAAAAAAAAAAAAUUUUUAACGUAUCAACAGACCAUAUGUUAUUUAAUAUAUACAAGCAAAAACAUUCAUUUUCAUGGCUCAACUGCUCUAUUUCUCCUCCUCUCUCUAGUAGUCAUUUUCUCACCAUAUCUCUCCAAUAUAUCCGCCAAAUCAACCAACCCUGCCUCUCUCAAUUUUUUUCCCAUCUCUUCAAAUAUAACACCACCUUCCUCACUUGAAUAAUAAUGCAAGAACUUAUUAUAAUCAAACCUAGGCACCUCAAGACCUCCAUUGAUUGUUCUCUCUACAUACUGGGUAGCUUCUAGUGACUUUCCAGCCUUAACCAAACCUCCAACAAAAAUUGUAUCAAAAUUCACAAGUGGAUCUUUUCCCUUCCUCCCUCUCUUUCCCAAAUGCCCUUGCAAUAGCAUUACAUAGGUAUGCAUUGUAGGUUCACACCCUCUUUUAAUCAUCUCUCUAAACACUUGCGUAGCUUCACUUGCUUUUCUCAACCUUAAUAAUCCCUUAAUCAUUCCAUGAUAAACACUAAUGUCAGGCUUUUCAAUCGUUUCCACAACUUUAUAAGCUUCAUUGACUCUCCCUCUUGCUAAUAGCCCAUAAAUUAAUGACCCUAAUGUCAAAUUAUCAGCUUCAAUCCCUCUCUUAGACAUUUCGUCGAACAUCAUCUUCGCUUGCGAAAUCUUGCCUCUUUUACACAUCCAAUCUAUAACAAGCCUAUACGUAGAUAGGCCCAGAUCAUCCAUUUUCUUUACUCUCAUCGUUUGGAAUAGCUUCACAGCCUCAUUAUACUCAUUUCUCUUGAAAAAUGUCUCUAUCAUUUUCUCAUACACAUGGAUGCCUGGCUCGAAACCCUCGUCGACCAUCAAAUUCCAUAUUUUUGAAGCUUCAAUCAUAUCACCCAUAUCACAAAAUCCUAUUACCAACCAUCCAUAGGUAAUCUCAUUAGCCUUAAUCCAUUCCUUCAACUUUAAAACCACAAACUUUGCCUCCUCAACAAGUUUAUCUUUGCACAAGCUUUCUACUACCUUAUUUAACCUUUCCACUCUAUAUUCAUACCCAUAACUAUUCAUUAAGUGAAAAAAUUCCACACAUUUUUUUAACUCUCUAGCCAAACCCAACGUUUUCAAAGCAAUUAUAAAUGUCUUAUCAUUUACCAAACCAAUUUUGGCCAUUUCUUGAAUUGUAUCCCAAAAAAGAUUAAUGUUUCUUGAUUUUCCGAUGACGUCUAACAUUUUGUUGAAGGAGAUUGAAGUGUGAGCAAAAAGCGCAUUAGGUGUUUGCCGCGUGUACUGAAAGAAACGGUAGACAGGGCGCCAAGAAUAUGGGAAUUUGUUGCAGACUUGGAGGAAGAAUUCGUGGGUUAAGUGGAAAUUGCAGGAGGAGAGUUUAGAGUAGAGUUUGGAGUCUGGAGAAUUUUGUUGCUGGUAGAGGAUGGUGCAGACUCGAAGGAGGUAGUCUGGCUUGACUGGGCAUGGCGGAGAUGGCUGCGGCUGAAUUGAUGCUGUAGUUAAGAGACGGAAGAGUUGGCGAGGCUGGUGGUAAAAGGAGUUAAGGAUGGGUUUAGGGAGCGAGGAACGUCGGACUAACAUUUUGAUUUGAUGGAGAAAAUGACGAGAAACACAAAGCGAGCGCUCUACCAUUUGAGCUACAUCCCCUUUUAUUGGCAUUGAUUUGAUGAAGAGUAUGACUAAAAAUACAAUAUACAUAAGUUCAUGGUUCGGUUUGAAAGGCUUAUGCAAAUCAAACCAAUAAUGACGGUUUAUAAAAAAAAAUAAUGGAGAUGCAGGGGAUCAAACCCUGUACAUACAAAUAAAAAUAAUGGAGAUGCAGGGGAUCGAACCCUGUACCUCUUGCAUGCAAAGCGAGCACUCUACCAUUUGAGCUACAUCCCCUUUUAUUGGCAUUGAUUUGAUGGAGAGUAUCACAAAAAAUACAAUAUACAUAAGUUCAUGGUUCGGUUUGAAAGGCUUAUGCAAAUCAAACCAAUAAUGACGGUACCCUGUACCUCUCGCAUGCAAAGCAAGCGCUCUACCAUUUGAGUUACAUCCCCUUAUAUUAGUGUUAAUUUGAUGACGAGUAUGAUGAAAAAUUACAAUAUACAUGACCUCAUGAUUCGGUUUCAAAGGCUUAUGCAAAUCAACCCAAUAAUGACGGUUUAUAAAAAAGUUCAAAUCCAACUAAAUUUAAAAAUACAUACAAAUAAAAAUAAGGGAGAUGCAGGGGAUCGAACCCUGUACCUCUCGCAUGCAAAGCGAGCGCUCUACCAUUUGAGCUACAUCCCCUUACAUUAGCCUUGAUUUGAUAAAGAGUGUGAUGAAAAAUUAUAAUAUACAUGACCUCAUGAUUCGGUUUCAAAGGCUUAUGCAAAUCAAACCAAUAAUGAAGGUUUAUAAAAAAAAAAAAAAAAACGUUAAAAUCCAACUAAAUUUAAAAAUACAUUCAAAUAAAAAUAAUAGAAAUGCAGGGGAUCAAACCUUGUACCUCUCGUAUGCAAAGCGAGCGCUUUUCCAUUUGAGCUACAUCCCCUUAUAUUAAUGUUAAUUUGAUGAAGAGUAUGAUGAAAAAUUACAAUAUACAUGACCUCAUGAUUCGGUUUGAAAGGCUUAUGCAAAUCAAACCGACUUGCAUGCAAAGCGAGCGCUCUACCAUUUGAGCUACGUCCCCUUAUAUUAGCCUUCAUUUGAUGAAGAGUGUCAUGAAAAAUUACAAUAUACAUGACCUCAUGAUUCGGUUUGAAAGGCUUAUGCAAAUCAAACCGACUUGCAUGCAAAGCGAGCGCUCUACCAUUUGAGCUACGUCCCCUUAUAUUAGCCUUCAUUUGAUGAAGAGUGUCAUGAAAAAUUACAAUAUACAUGACCUCAUGAUUCGGUUUGAAAGGCUUAUGCAAAUCAAACCGACUUGCAUGCAAAGCGAGCGCUCUACCAUUUGAGCUACAUCCCCUUAUAUUAGCCUUCAUUUGAUGAAGAGUGUCAUGAAAAAUUACAAUAUACAUGACCUCAUGAUUCGGUUUGAAAGGCUUAUGCAAAUCAAACCGACUUGCAUGCAAAGCGAGUGCUCUACCAUUUGAGCUACAUUCCCUUAUAUUGGUGUUGAUUUGAUGAAGAGUAUGACAAAAAAAUACAAUAUACAUGAGUUCAUGGUUCGGUUUGAAAGGUUUAUACAAAUCAAACCAAUAAUGACGGUUUAUAAAAAGUUAAAAUCCAACUAAAAUUAAAAAUACAUAAAAAAAAUAGAGAUACAAGGGAUCAAACCUUGUACCUCUCACAUGCAAUGCGAGCACUCUACUAUUUGAGCUACAUCCCUUUAUAUUAGUUUUGAUUUGAUGAAGAGUAUGAUGAGAAAAUACAAUAUACAUGAGUUUAUAGUUCGGCUUGAAAGGGUUAUGCAAAUCAAACCAAUAAUGACGGUUUAUACAAAUUUAAAAUUCAACUAAAUUUAAAAAUACAUACAAAUAAAAACAACGGAUAUGCAAAAGAUCAAACUUUGUACCUCUCACAUGCGAAGCGAGCACUCUUUUAUUUAAGCUACAUAUCAUUAUGUUGAUAUUGACCAAUUAUGAGAUAAUACAAUUAUUAAUCCAAUAAAUAAUAUAUUAGAGAACAUGUAAUAUUUUUAUACUAAUUAAUAUAUGUGCAUGGUGAGUGCAUCCGCUAUACAUAUAGAGCCAAACCACAGUAUGCCUAAGGAUGAAUGUAUUAAGUCGUGUGAUAUGAGAUUAGUAUGCUAGAUGGUAGAUUGCGAAGGACCUGCAAGGGAGAGACUUUCCAUAAUAUUUUUAGCUAACCCAAAGCCUGAUAGUCGAGACUAAACUCUAUAUGUGCUAGGUUAUGGGCAUUAUACUCUAACUAGAGAAGAUGAUGUCUCUAACUCUCCAUAAAAGAAGAGCUCCAUGAACAAACACUACAGGGCCAAAAGCCUAUAGUGCUCAUCUCUUCGUGGAUGAAGUCUCGAUAUAGACAGUAUUAUGCUAUCCAAAAUUCCCUAAAACUUUAUGCCUUGGAUGUGCUUUAUGUAUAUGGCAUGUUAAGCUUUUAUAAUCAGUUAUUAUAUUAAGACACUAGGAAGAUGCAUGUUUAGCCUAAAUUAUAAGAGGAGUCUAGAUGCCACAGGGUUGUCAAAGGUUUUAAAGAGCUUGCCACUAUUGAAUCAAUUAUUCAUUUGUAAACUUUUUGAUUUAAUUUUAAAAACUACCCAAUGAAAAAUACAACAUGUUUAGGACACAGUGGGAAAACUAGAUCAUAGUUGACAAGCUAUGGCCUCCCUAAAAUUUCCAAAUUUUAAUUUUCAAUCAAUUUAUUUAUAUUUUUACUCCUUCCUAUGCGUAAAGUCUAAUUACACCCUUGAAUAGGAUGGUUAAAGACCUUAACCUUAGCAUUAGACAGGAAUUAGAACAAUAAGAGUGUGUUUACUUGUAGAAAACUAGAGUAGUUUUUUAGAAAAAGUUUUCAAAAAAAACUAGAAAAUAAAAUUUUAUAUUCAAAUCAGUCAGUUUUCUAUUUGAAAAAUUAGAAAAUAGUUUUCCAGUUUUAUAAAAUUUAACUAAGUUUUGGAAAACAGCUUUUAAGUUUUUUUUUUUUACAGUUUUCUUUUAUAACAAAAGGUAUAUUUUUCAAUUGUUUUCCAUUUUAUAAAAUGAUAUUUUCAUAAUUGAUGUUAUAAUAUCUGUAAAUAACUUUCUAUAAAAUAUUUUUAUUGAAUAAAUAAAAAUAUUUAAAUAAAAUAAAAAUUAUAUUAUGCUUUAAUAUAUAAUUAAUUUUAUUAUUACAAAUAUGUUACAUUCUUUAUUUUUAAAAAGUUUAAAAAAUAAUAAAAAAAAUUGAUAUUAUUAUUAUUGUUAUAAACAAUCGAUAAUAAAAAAUUUCUAAAGUUAGUUUAUAAUAAUUUAUUUUAAUUAUGAAAGUCAUGAAUAAUAUUUGUGAAGUUUUUAAAUUAAAAUAUAAUUUUAUAUUUUAAUCUGCAUUUUUCAUUUUUUAUUUUCUAAAUUUUAUUUUCUAAGAAAACUGUUUUUUUUUAAAACAGAAAAAUUUUUUCCGUAAGUAAACACACCCUAAUAUUUUUUAUUUUCUUUUAAAAAAUGCAUAUUUAUUUAUUUUUUAGUAAAAAAAAAAAGGAAAAAAAUUAUAUUUUAUAAUAAAAGGAAAAAGGAGAUGUAAAAUCCAAAAAGACCCCUCCGAGAGAAAAGGAUUUGAAUGGAUCGUAGAGGGAAAAAUAAAAAUAAACACAAAAAUAACGAAAUGCGCGCUUUUCCUCUUUCAAAGUUUCAAAGUUAGAAACCCAACGAACGGUCCAGAUCUGGUCUUCCUCCUUUCACGAAUCACUCCAUCUUUCACACCCACUCCCUUAUAUUUAUUUAACCCCUUUCCAUUUUCCUCGCUUUUCACUUCUCUAACCAAUUUCCCCUUUCUUUUCUUCAACCUCUCCAUUCUCAUUCCAAUCCUUCUCUCUGUAGUUCUUUUCCUUUUUUACUUGGCGAUUCUACCAGCGUUACCGUCUUCGCUUCUGAUCUCUCUCAAGUCUAUCCAAUGUCGACCGAGAAGGAGAGGGAGUCUCAUGUUUACAUGGCCAAGCUCGCUGAGCAAGCCGAGCGCUAUGAAGGUAUAUACAGCUGUUUAUCGUUUUCCUCGGUGUCGUUUUGGUAUUUAAUCCAAAUAUCAGAAUGUAUUUGUAUAAUUGAAUGAGAUCAUUUGUUGGCGAGAUUACUGGUCGAGUUUUAAAUGAGAUACCUCUAUUAGCUGGAAUAGUCGAAUCAAAUAAAUUAUGUUUUAUGAUUAGUUUUCUUCAUUAUAUUUUAAUUUGUUUCACAUAAUUAGAUUUUUCUUAAUAUGCAUUUUGGCUCUAAUUUUUUCAUAAUUCCUGAAUUUUUCACCGCAUUUUGAUUCCUAAUUUUUCAUGUUAAAUUGCACUUUAGUCCUUAAAUUUUUUACCUUAACCUUAAAAUCCUUCCAAAUAUCUAAAUUUCAGCUGCUGUUAAGUAACGUAAGGAUUAUAUAUGCAAAUUAUGAAACAAUAGGAACCAAAGUAUAUGUUAAGGAAAACCAAGGGAUGUUUUGAUCCUUAUUCUAAUGCCCAAUCCAAAAAAUCUAUUUAUUUUUAGGUUUAAAAGCUUAAAAGGUUCAGUUCAUUUUAUUAAGUCUCAUAAUGCAACUUGUUAAAGGUUAAAAUCCUAAAAAGCCUCUCUUGAUUAAUUUCUGAUGUUAAAAAAAAAAAAAAAAACAGUUUUUGGUGCGGCAUUGAUUUUUAGAUUUUGUUUACUAUAUAUUGCAUUGGUAAUAUUAAUGUUGUUCAUUUGAAUCAUUACUUGCACUUCAAGUGUGUGGUAGCUUUAUGAAAUGUUUGUUUGAAUGGUGAAACAGAAAUGGUUGAAUGCAUGAAAAAAGUUGCAAGACUUGAUUGUGAGCUGACUGUGGAGGAGAGGAACCUUCUGUCUGUGGGUUAUAAAAAUGUGAUUGGUGCUAGGCGAGCUUCGUGGCGCAUUAUGUCAUCCAUUGAACAGAAGGAAGAGACUAAAGGAAAUGAGAAUAAUGUUAAAUUGAUUAAGGGUUACCGCCAGAAGGUAGAGGAGGAACUUGCUAAUAUCUGCAACGACAUUCUGUCUAUCAUAGACAAGCAUCUGGUCCCAUCUUCCACCUCCGGAGAAGCCACUGUCUUCUACUACAAGAUGUGAGUCAGUCUUCUCGCCUUAUUUUGAUUAACAAGAAAAGAGGGAUACUUUUGCUUAAUACGAUGAUUGGUUGCGUUUUCUUUUCUCUAAAAUUCGUAACCAAAUACGGGAUAGAAUAAUCUUUCUUUUUGAUAUGUGCCACUUUGUGUCUUUUUAGCGUUGUUGUUUGAGCUAAUAUGAAAAAACAUGCCAUAGUGAAUGCGUUGAAUAGGUCAUUGGAAGCUAUUCUUAAGUUGUAUAUAACAUGUUUUUGUUGUAAAAGAAGGCAAUUUUAAACUGUUUGCUCCAAAUAACAUGUAAAAGAGGUGAUUCUUUUUUCGGAAAAGAGGUUUUCAAUCUUAAUGCUAAACUGUUAAUAAAUGGUCUAAGACAUAAUUAUGUUAAUCUUGCUUAUAAUUUGUUAUGCACAUGCAUACAAGAUUUUGAAUUUUUGGUAUUUGUUUCUUUUGGAGUAACAUUUUUUCCUUAAUGUUAUUUUUGUUUAAUGUAUCGUUUCAUGGCGUGAACGAAUUCAGGAAAGGUGACUACUAUCGCUAUCUAGCUGAGUUCAAGACUGACCAGGAAAGGAAGGAGGCAGCUGAACAGUCACUCAAGGGUUAUGAGGCACGUUCCUUUGAUUCUUCUGACAUAAAUACACUUUGUUAACAUGGAGCUUCAUCUAUUUUCUUGUCCUAAUUGAAGUAUUCUGUUGCCAUUUAUUUGUAGGCUGCUUCUGCCACUGCAAACACAGAUCUGCCUUCAACUCACCCAAUUCGUCUUGGUCUUGCACUUAACUUCUCUGUUUUCUACUAUGAGAUCAUGAAUUCUCCUGAGAGGUGUGUCAUGUGUAUGUUAUCUCUGGUGCAAUCUCUUCAAGGUAAUUGAAUUGCUAGAUAAUUUAUUUUAUUAACAAUGAUGAGACUUUUGCAGAGCUUGCCAUUUGGCCAAACAAGCUUUUGAUGAGGCAAUUGCAGAGUUGGAUACCUUGAGCGAGGAAUCAUACAAAGACAGCACACUGAUUAUGCAGUUGUUGAGAGACAACCUUACUCUUUGGACUUCUGACUUGCCUGAGGAUGGAGGUACAGUACAAGCUCAACAAGGACCUAAUCUUUGAGUUUGUUUGCCUUAUUUGGCUUAAUCUCUAGGAAUUUCUUUGGCAAAAUUUCAGUUAAUUAAUACGGUACAAAAAUUUACCUCUUUAACAAAAAAAAAGUUUUGGUUUAGUUGUACUAAAAUCAUCUCUAGGCUGCAAGGUCUAGAGUUCCAACCCCAACAGGAACCUAAUGAACCCCCAACCAAAAAAAUAAAAAAAAUAAAAAAAAGAAAGAAGAAAAUGCACCUCUUUUAGCUUCAUCUCUAAGAAUUUGCAUCCAUGCAGGUGAGGAUAACUUUAAAAGUGAAGAAUCCAAACCUGCAGAAGGAGGAGAGGUACGUUACUGCAAAAUUUCCUCUCAAUGAACCGAACUUCUAGUUUUUGCCAGAGCAAUUAAAUGUCUAUUAAUCUCUCUGCAGAGCCAGCAUUGAUGAAAACUGAGAAUCCUGCCCAUGGCAAGGGGAGGGUAAAGUACUUUGCAGAAGUGGCUUCUUUUAUUAGCUUUUCUCAAAAGGGGAUUGAAUCAACUUGAACGAAGUAGACAGUCCUUGAUGUUACAGUCUUUUUGCAGUCCACCAAAGCCUGACGAUAGAUUGAUCAAUUGCUCUUCCAUUUUUGUUGUUCCUCUAUUUGUCUUUUUGAUAUUUUUCCCCUUUUCUAAACAAAUUUCUCCUUUUCUUUCCUUUGCUUUAAUGUCUAUUAAAUAUUUUUCCUUGUAGAAACCUUUUAUGAAAUGAUGAAAUAUUUCUCAUUAUGCCGUUAGAUGUUGUUGCCUACGAGCUUCUUUGGGAGAAAUUCAAGCCUUUUGAACUCAAUACACUUAGUUUUGGGUUGUUGUUUUUAUACUACCAAGAGUUUCUUGCUAUCUUUUUAAUGGUUAGAUGAGAGACUAAUUAUUUUUGAGUCAGAGAGUGAUUAUACUAAAGAUCUUUUCCAAGAUUUUAACUUCACAGUUCAAUUUUGUAAUCAGCAAGAUGAGAUUUAAUUGCAUAGUAAUAUACAUGUUAAAGACUCUCUCCAAGAUGUUCAUUUUACGGUUUAAUCCUGUGAUAUAAAAUUUUGACAUAAGGACUUGUUUUUAUUCAUGUCAUUCGUUAUCAUUGCCUAAGUAGUGUCUCUGUAGUGGACAACACUCAAAUUUAAGCUUUUACCUUGAAUUUAUACACUUGGUAAAUUUGGCCUUUUAACAAUUUCAUGGAAUUGCAGGAAUAGAUAACUACUAACUCUUUUUCAAUAUAUGGACAGUGAGUCAAUUCUAGAGAUGGUAUAAGCUCCAUUUUACAUGAAGUUAUCAACUCAUCUUUGUAGUUAUUUAUUUCUAAUGUAUACAUGAUAAACAUAGGAAAGUUGUUGCAAAAGCUCAUAUUAUUCUGGAAAAUGAAUCAUAUUCCAUAAAUAUGAUAAUUAUUUAAUCUGAUAUAUAGAAUAUAUGAUAUAGUGUUGUAGUACUUCUAUUGAUCAGUCUUAUCAAAUAAAUAUUAAUCGACUAUUCAAUUGCUUCGAUUGAAAUUAUCCAAAAGAUAUCUUAUAUAUUAUAUUAAAUUCUAUAUUCAAUUGUUACGAUGUAAAUAGUUCUUUGAAGAGGUUGGAAAUAAACUAUAAGACGGUUGUCAACAUAAAAAAUAUAUUUUUUUUUAUUAAUGUUAAAGGGAAAUUGAAAAUUUUCCUCGGAGCUUGGCGGCCCUGAAUAAUAUUUUGAUAUUAGUGCCUAGUUAGCUAUAAAAGAAAUUAAAUGAAGACAAAAGACUUUAUUUAUGAUUGAGGUUUAAUUAUAGUUAGUUGUUUUUGUAUAUUCAAUAUGCAAUUAUCCUGACUUUAUUUUUUUUUAAUUCCUUUUGAAUCGAAUAAAAAUAAACAACAAAAUCCCAAUAUAGAAACUGCAUUAACGUUCACGUUCCCAUUCUCAUUCCCAGAUUUUUUUUUCUUUUAUUAUCCUCUGCAUUUCGGCUGUACCAGGGAAAUGCAACGGUGGCAAUUGUCAGCUUCUGAGUUGUUCUUGAACGAAGCAACUCGGCUGAUUUGGACCAUGUCACAGUAAGUAAAGUUCCUGUUUAGAAAAAUCGAAAAGUUGGAAUCUUUAUUAUGCUUUGAGGACUCGGCGAUAAAUCGAGGUGGCAAUAGAGUUUAGCAGCGGAGCAUAAGUCGGAAAGUGAGUAGAGGGAACGUUUUGAGCAGCGAGUUUGGAAAAAGUAAGUGAAUUGAGUAGAUCCAACGGAAAUCUAAACAAUACAGUCUAACUAUUCAAAAUUGUGUUCUUUAUUUCAACAAAAAUUUCAAUUCACAAUUCAAAAUACAAAAACCUCAUCAACCAAAAAGAAGCAAAUCUUAUUCUACAGGAAAUGCAUUACGCUAUUCCCAUUUCCAGAGCCAAACAAACAUAAACCACCCAACUCAAUUGGAAAAUCCCAAAACUUGCUAAUUAUUGAUUAAUGCCAGUAAGACUGACACUAAUUAACUUGGGGUGCUUUUAAUCAUCGUUUCAAUUUCUUCCCCAUUCCUGUCUUAGCUCCAAUAUUCUUCUUAUCAGAUGUGGAGCUGUCAUCCUUUCAAAAUGUGGAGCUGUCUGUGUCUGCAAUGUCUCUUGGUUACUGUGCUGUGGCUGUCAUUAUCAUAUUUGUGCUCAACAAAAUCAUGCAGAGAGCAAAAACAAUGAAUCCCUUUUGCAACGCCAUUUUUCAAGAAUUGAUAUAUUGCUUUAUUCUUCAGAAAUGAUUUUGAUUUCUGUUUUGAUGAUGGAAGAGCUGAGGCUUUUGAGUCUAUAUAUUGAGGGUUUUUUUUUUUUUUUUUUUUUUUUUUUUUUUUCUUUUUGCUAUAAUUAGACAUGUCCUCCUUGAAAUUCUGCAUUUGAUUAGAAUUUUUGAGGUUGUUAUUGAGUGUGAAGAAAGGAAGAAAUAUAACUUAGUUCUUACUAUUUAGAGAAUUCCAAGAAUGGAACUGAUCAUUAAAGACAUUUGCAGCUCAGUGGAUAAAAAGGUUUUGUAUUUUACUAGGCUAAACUUUUUUCAGAGUGAAGAGCUUUUCAAUAAUAACAGCUAAUCUUGCAUAGUAAUACUAUGUUAUUUGAACGGCGGCAGUGGCG
rnacentral:lncRNA from 1 species